rnacentral:pre_miRNA from 1 species
UGUGUGGAUCCUAAGUGUCUCCCCUUGGAAGCCGCAGUUUGGCAUGAAGCACUUAUUCCUUUGCGCAUCCAUUUUGUGACUGCUUGUAUUGAGUCGAAUCCAAUUCCUUGCCUUCUACUUCCUUCCAAUCUAGAUCACUCCUGGUUUUUCACAUUGUUUGGUUGUUGGGGGUCAUAUUGUUUGUAUACCUUUUUUCGCACGAAAUCUUCAAUUUGAAAGACGCUGUUGGAAACUCUAAUUUCGAAUUUCUGCAGCCACACCCAAUAGUUUGAGGUCUUGUCGGUAUCUUCCUUUGCGCGCCUACUUCAGUGACUGCAGAAAGUCACUGCAGUCACUACCGGGGACGAACAUACUAGCACUGUUAAUCUCACUAUACUCGUCAAUCUUCAGUUGUCCAUGCACGAUUUCUCCCUAAAAUUAUUGAGGGGAUAUCAGAGUUUCGUGCCAAGCUGUGUGCAACCAAG